rnacentral:rRNA from 1 species
GACAGAGGGGGCAAGCGUUGUCCGGACUGACUGGGCGUAAAGCGCGCGCAGGCGGUCAGAGGCGUCGGUGCUCAAAGUCCACCGCUUAACGGUGGGAGGCGUGCCGAUACGCUCUGACUGGAGGGCGGGCGAGGGUGGUGGAAUUGCCGGUGUAGUGGUGAAAUGCGUAGAGAUCGGCAGGAACACCAGUGGCGAAGGCGGCCACCUAGCCCGCACCUGACGCUGAGGCGCGACAGCGUGGGGAGCGAACUGGAUUAGAUACCCAGGUAGUCCACGCCGUAAACGAUGCCGACUCGGUCUUCGUGGGGCGAAUAGCCCUGGGGGGGCCCGAGCUCACGCGCUAAGUCGGCCGCCUGGGGACUACGAGCGCAAGCUUAAA